CGGAGGGGACUAGCGUUGUUCGGAAUUACUGGGGCGUAAAAGCGUGCGUAGGCGGAUCAGCAAGUUGGGGGGUGAAAUCCCGGGGGCUCAACCCCGGAACUGCCUCCAAAAACUGUUGGUCUAGAGUUCGAGAGAGGUGAGUGGAAUUCAGAGUGUAGAGGUGAAAUUCGUAGAUAUUCGGAGGAACAUCAGUGGCGAAGGCGGCUCACUGGCUCGAUACUGACGCUGAGGUACGAAAGUGUGGGGAGCAAACAGGAUU
rnacentral:rRNA from 1 species